rnacentral:rRNA from 1 species
AUGCCUACAGCGGCCACCACGGGCGUCGCCGCCGUGUCCUUGCCUGACGACGUCGUCUCUGACAUCCUCUCCAGGCUGCCGGUGAAGUGCGUGAGUCGUCUCCGGUGUGUCUGCACAGGGUGGCGCGCCCUCAUCUCCGACCCGGGCUUCGCUGCCCUGCAUAGAUCUCGCCAGGCCGAGCCCCUCAUCAUCGCCAGCAUCUACCAGGAAUACCCCUGGGGAUCCCGCGGCCUGUAG